CUCCCCGGCUGCUCUUUGCCCCUGCUUUUUGAGUGCUCGAGCGCAGGCGCCUCCAAGGGGUUAACUAAGGGCGAUCUGCCCUCCUGGCGCGUCCCCCGCCCCUCUCCCUGCCUGGAUCCAGAGAGUUCACACUCGGGACAAGAAAGAAAUAGAAAGAAUCCGCCGCGCCCCGUGCGCAGUGCAGCCAUUGGCUGGCAGCGGAGUUCCGCGAAAGGCCACCCCUCGCUUUUGUUUUGUUUGCAGCCUGUUCCGGUUGGCACCGGGGUUGUGCAACCCGCGACUGACGCAGCAGAAAAGAACUGCUAUUAAAACAUUUGCCGGAAAGAGGGCUGGAGAGGGGAGAAGCCUGGGCGUUCCCCUUCGGGGUCAAGAGAGGGCAGCAGCGAGCAGCAGCCUUUUCAGAAUGGGUCAUUCACAUAAUUCCCCCUGAUGUCGGCUUCCUGGUACCUGAAGGCUGCCUGACUUUCCCAGGCGGGACAAGACUCCGGAUCCCCGUAAUGUGAUUAAGGUAAAAAUUAUGUCAGCUUAGGAAAGUCUGCAAAACCAAAGUGAAGACUCAUCUCCCCACUAUGAUUGUGCAGAAUGACUCGUCCAGCAAAAACGAGUCACCGUAUUCUCAAAAAUCACACUCGGGUUAAGAUUUCAGAUGACACAGAAGUCCAACAGAGAAAAGAGCUUUUGAAAAGAAAACGGUGCAGAAUGACAACCUUGUAAAUCCAUUGCACAGUAUAAAUUUUAUUAAGUUAUUCUGUGGUCUUUCGGGAGCUGUUUAUGAAAUUACACAACUGAGUGUUAUCUACUGAAAAUUUACAGCUUGUCCAGGAAAUGUACACCAUGCGUUUUUAAUACAGAGGAGAAUUUUUAUUUAUUUUAAAUGUUAAAAGGCUGUAGCUUCCGCUCACUCAGUUUGAUUU